UUUUAGGAUUUUGGUACUAAUUUUUCUAUGCAUUGAUUGAGGGAGGCUUAUGGCUUGCAUUUAGAGAAGUUUCUGUAUGCCUAGUUUGUAACUGGGAUCUUGCAUUAAUUGAAAACUGAAGAUAUAUAUAUAUAUAUUGGCAAAUAUAUUUUAUAUAUUGUAAUGUUUCCUAGGAAGUACCUUCUGCUUAGACAUAUAUUAUUUCUGCUCCUCUUUCUCUGCCUAUUUUGACGCUUGAUAAGCAAUCCUUUG
rnacentral:misc_RNA from 1 species